CUCCACUUAGCUCAAUUGGAUAGAGCGGUAGGUUUCUACCCUAUAGGUUAGGGGUUCAAGUCCUCUAGUGGAGG
rnacentral:tRNA from 1 species